rnacentral:lncRNA from 1 species
UCAGAUAAAUGAUGGAGAUGGUUAGGUAGGACUUGUGGAAACUAAGAUCACCACUAUAGCGAGAGUUAGACAUGGUUAGGCAUGUGCGUGUCGCUGUGGGGCACGCACAAAGGCGUAUGCCCGCCUUCGACAAGGUCACCUUGCUGCAUGGACGAAAACCUAGGCUAUCUAUCUCAAUUAUUCAGCUAUAUUCUUGUUGGUCAGCUUGUCAAAUCCUGAGUAGUAUAUCAAGCUUAAUUAUAUGUAUACAUGUCGAGAUUGGCCUAUCUGCGACCUACUCUUUGAAGUUUGAACACCUCUAAGUUGCAUGUGAAAGUUGCCUGACUGGCUUGCUCUACGCCUGAUUAAGAACUAAGUUGUUCACCAGUAGCUAUUUGUCUGAUUUACAUUUACAACUAUGUUAUAUAUCUUCAGGUAAGGGAAAUAUUCGCAACUUUUGAGAAGAAGCUUCUGUUUGUAACAAACAGAAGAUAAAUGGACAAAACUGUACGCUAGUCCUGCACCUUACAUUUGCAAUUUGUUUGUUGUUGGAUUUCGGUGUUGCUUCAGAAAAAUCAGCUAGAUGGGUCUGCUAGAUUCAUAUGUCCACAUACUAUUUUUGCUAUGAAACAAAGUGGUUUAGAACUCAAUCUCUAGUGCUCAAAUUGUCCCUGUAAUGCUGCAAUACUUAGCAGAGAACAGUAGUUGAAAUGGAAGUAAGAUAGAGCAGUGGGUGAGCCAUUGAACAGAAGGUACAUGCACAACUACCAGUUCUCACUCUACCUCUAUAAAUCCUUCUUCACCACAAACUGCUACACCAUGUCUCGGUUUGUUCUUUCUGAUUGAGUUGUGAAGCUCUAGUUAACCAUUCAUCAGCAGCUUAGCUUGUUUUUUCAUUUUAUUUUAGUAGGAGCAAUUCAGGGUAGGAUGGAUCCACAUGGGCCUGGAGGACCGGCCUGGGGAGGCCCUGGAGGGUGGGGUCCGGUUCCACCUGGUGGGCCUGGGUUUCCUGGUGUCCCUGGUUCUUGGGGGCCUGGGUUCGGUGGAUUCUUCAGAUCCUGGUAAGUUGAAUUCUCAGCUAACUGAUGGAGAUCAUCAGUCAUUCAGUUAAAUGUCAAAUUUUUUUCCUUCUAAAAAAUCAGACUAUUCACCCUGGCAGACAAUUAGUCUGGUUCAGGGAUCAAGUGUAAUUUUUUUAGCACCAACUCAAGCUUCAAUUCCAAGCCGUGAUGCAUGUAUACUAUUAAUACUUUAAUUUUGCACCUCUGAACCCCUUUUGUUUUAUAUAUUAAUAAACCUGCAACUCUGAACAAGUGUUUCUUCUGCAGCUUCUAUCUCCUGUGCUGCUGCUGCCUGCUCCAAGAUUGCUGCGGCCCUCUCUUCGGACGACCGGGCCCUGGCGGCCCGCCACCCCCUUUCUGAUAGCCUGCGGAGCUUCUGGCUACAAGAAACAACUCAUUCGACCACAAUUCCUAGACUAA